AACAAAUUAGAGAACAGUUCUUCACCUGACUUAGAUUUAUGGACAUGAAAUGAUGGUGAUGUGAUCUCAAAAUUUAACUGAACCAACUUUCUGCUUUUCUCCUGCACAGGCUUUCCUACAUGUCCUGCCAUUGGUGGAGGUUUGCCACUCACUGAAGGAAAGGUGAACAUAAAUGUAACGAAGAAGAAGAAGAAGAA